GCCCUGCUAGCUCAGCUGGUUAGAGCGUCGUACUAAUAGAAUUUCUAGAACCAGAGGUUCUAUCAGGUCCAUGCGAAGGUCAACAGUUCAAUCAUGUUGUGGGGCA